UACGGAGGGGGCUAGCGUUGUUCGGAAUUACUGGGCGUAAAGCGCACGUAGGCGGCUUUGUAAGUUAGAGGUGAAAGCCCGGGGCUCAACUCCGGAACUGCCUUUAAGACUGCAUCGCUUGAAUCCAGGAGAGGUGAGUGGAAUUCCGAGUGUAGAGGUGAAAUUCGUAGAUAUUCGCAAGAACACCAGUGGCGAAGGCGGCUCACUGGCCCGAUACUGACGCUGAGGCACGAAAGCGUGGGGAGCAAACAGG
rnacentral:rRNA from 1 species